AUUGAACGCUGGCGGCAGGCCUAACACAUGCAAGUCGAACGAGUGGCGGACGGGUGAGUAAUGUCUGGGACACUGCCUGAUGGAGGGGGAUCACUACUGGAAACGGUAGCUAAUACCGCAUACCAUCAGAUGUGCCCAGAUGGGAUUAGCUUGUUGGUGGGGUAACGGCUCACCACGGCGCCGAACCCUAGCUGGUCUGAGAGGAUGACCAGCGACAUGGGAACUGAGACACGGUCCAUAGACCUACGAGAGGGAGCAGUGGGGAAUAUUGCACAAAGGGCGAAAGCAUGGUACAGCCAUGCCGCGUGUGUGAAGAAGGCCGUCGGGUUGUAAAGAACUUUCAGCGGUGAGGCGUUACCCGCAGAAGAAGCACCGGCUAACUCCGUGCCAGCAGCCGCGGUAAUUC
rnacentral:rRNA from 1 species